UAGCCGUAAACGAUACUCGCUAGGUGUCGACCACGGUGCGACCGUUGUCGGUGCCGUAGGGAAGCCGUGAAGCGAGCCACCUGGGAAGUACGGCCGCAAGGCUGAAACUUAAAGGAAUUGGCGGGGGAGCACAACAACGGGUGGAGCUUGCGGUUUAAUUGGAUUCAACGCCGGAAAUCUUACCGGGACCGACAGCAACAUGAAGGCCAAGCUGAAGACUUUGCCGGAUUAGCUGAGAGGAGGUGCAUGGCGUAGACGUCU
rnacentral:rRNA from 1 species